ensembl:lncRNA
AAAAUCUGGACUGAUGCUCAGAGCUACUGCAGACAGCAUUAUACAGACUUGCCCACUAUCCACAACUCUGAGGAAAAUAACCAGAUAAAUCAAAUUCUUUUACCUGGAUAUUACACCUGGUUCGGUCUGUUCUUGGACUCUUGGGAAUGGUCUGAUAAAUGGAGUCGCUUCUUCAGACACUGGGCAGCAGGUCAACCAUCCCAGAGUUCAGGAUCUGGUGACUGUGUUGGCAUGUCAAGAAACAACUCUGGCAGAUGGUCUCAAUACAGCCUUUUAUCUGCUAUGGAGAUGACAAGAGAAAACAAAUUGUGAGACUGAAAGUGGCAUGUAAUGGAAAAUGCACCUUCACUACAGACGGGCAUUCUGAAUGAGAUAAAUGAAAAGCUGAAGAACAUGAUGUUGGAGAGUGACAGCAAAAUAAGGAGAAGUGGGGAAGAUGGAGAGGUGUUUCAUCAGGAGAACAACCAUAUGGUGAAUUUAGCUAAUAAAUGUAAAAGCCAUCCGUAAUGUUUUAAACACAGUUUUAAAGAAUAUCAAGUAAUGUUACUAUAUUGUCUUGAGGAAAUGAAAAAUAGUAGUAGUACAAUACAAUAUUAACAACAGUAAUGAAUUUGCAUUCUUACAAGAUUAUAGGCAA